GUUCUUGAAAUUUAAAAAAUUUGGCGGUAUUUUAGUCUUUUCUAGAGGAACCUGCCCUGUAAUUGAUAUUCCACGAUUAAUUGUACUUAAUUUAAAAGUUUAUAUAUCGUCGUAGUUGAAUACCUUAAAAGAGUUAAGUAUUCAAUAUUUAUAAUUUUAUAAAUAAAAUCAGAUCAAGAUAUAGUUUAUAAUUAAGAAGAGGUGGGUUACAAUAAAAGUUAUUUACGGUUAUAGAAAUUAAAAUUUUUAUUUAAGUUGGAUUUAAAAGUAAUAUAUUUGAGUUAAAAUAUGUGAUUUAAGCUCUAAAAUAUGCACAUAUCGCCCGUCGCUUCCAAUAAAUUUUAAGUUGGAAUAAGUCGUAACAUAGUAGGCGUACCGGAAGGUGUGCCUAGUUUGUCAAAUUAAAACUUUAUUAAGUAUUUUAUUUACAUUAAAAAAAUAAUUGUGUAAAUCAAUUUAAUUUGAAUUUAAAAAUUUAUAUAUAAUAUAUAUUUAUUAAUAGUUAAAAAAAAUAUUUUUAUAUUUAUUUAUUAAGCUUAGAUAAAAUUAUUUAAAUUAUAGAUUAUUUGUAUAGUGAUAGAAAAUUGAAAAAAUUUAAUUAAAUAUUUAAAAGAAAAAUUAAAUUUUUGUACCUUGUGUAUCAGGGUUUAUUAAAUAAUAAUUAUAGAAUUAAUUUUCUCGAAUUUAAAAGAGUUAAGAAAUUAUUUAUUUUAUUGUAAAAUAAAUAUUUAAGAUAAUUUUUUAGUAAUGAAACGUUAUUCGUUUUUAAAUUUAUCUAGUUUUUUAAGAAAUAAAUUUAAUUUAGUUAAUUAUUUUAUAAUUAAAAUAAUUAUUUAUUUUAAUAUUAAUAUAAUUAAUUAAUAUUUUAAGGGAUAAGCUUUAAAAUAAAUUUUUAAAAAUUAAAUGAAUUUUAUAUAUAAAUUAAUAGGGUUAGAAUUUUUUAUUAUUAAUAGUAUGUUAUAAUAAAUUUAUAUUUAAAUUAAAUUUUUAUAUAAUUUUAAAUUGUUUAUUAAAAUUAUUUAUUUAAUAGUAAAAUAUAUGUAAUAAUGAUAAAAUUAGUAUAAAUUUUAUGUUUAGUUAAUUUAAUAAUUAAGGUUAAAUUAAGGAAUUCGGCAAAUAAGUUUUCUGCCUGUUUAUUAAAAACAUGUCUUUUUGAUUAUAAUUUAAAGUCUAACCUGCCCUAUGAAUUUUUAAAUGGCCGCGGUAUUUUGACCGUGCAAAGGUAGCAUAAUCAUUAGUUUCUUAAUUAGGAACUGGUAUGAAUGGUUGGACAAGAAAAAUACUGUCUCAGUUUAAUUUAAUUAGAAUUUUAUUUUUAAGUAAAAAAGCUUAAAUAUUUUUAAAAGACGAGAAGACCCUAUAGAGUUUUAUAUUAAAAAUUUAUUUAAAAAUUUAAGUAUUUAAAAUUUAAUUAAAUAAUUAUAAUAUUUAAUUGGGGUGAUUGAAAAAUUAAUAUAACUUUUUUUAAAAGAAAAC
rnacentral:rRNA from 1 species